rnacentral:tRNA from 1 species
AGCUAGGUGGCUCAGAGGGUAGAGUACUGGACCUGGAAUCCAGAAGACCUGAGUUCAAAUCCAGACUCACUC